AUUUCAAAGAGCACCCAGAUCGGGAUUUGACCAAUUAUCCAUACCCGUCUCGUCCAAUGUACCCACCAAAGACUCGUCUCUUGAUGAUGCCCGAUUCGUGGUUUACCGCAUUCCAAAAGG
rnacentral:sRNA from 1 species